CCGGUGUGAGGGGUGUGAGCGCUUUCGAUGACGCUUGGCUGACGUGCCGCACUCUUAGCUGGGGAGUUUUUGUAAAUUUUGAAUAUAUAUUAUCUAGCUAUAAAGAGAGCUGGCCGGACAAUCACCUAUGCUAAAGUUAGAAAGAUAUUGAUCAAGUUAUAAUCUAAAAGAAAGUUUUAUUUGAUCUGUUAAAAAAAAAGGAACAAAAGAUGACUGUUUGUGAUUCUAGUCGUAGAGUUAAAGAUGUUGAGAUUGAUUAACAAGCGAAAUGUGAUAUUAAUCUAGACUGAAAUACUAAUCAUUAAAAAAAAGACGAAGCGAAUUGAUAAACGAAACACCAGUGAAAAAAAAUAUUAAGUAAAAAUCAUUUUAUUCCAAACUUUCUCGACAUUUUCUGUGAUUACUGAUAAGGUUUUUUGAAUACUUCGCUUAAAGUGACCAAAGUUAUUGAAACUUAUCCAUAAACUCUUUGUGAUUUCUCGCGUAGUUGGCAAUAGUGAAGAAAAGAAGUAAACAGUGAUGCCAAACAAGAAAAUGUGUAUAAAUUGAACAAGAACUUCUCAAUAGAUGUGUUGUGUGAACAGACAGUAUAUAAACAGAGUAUGAUCUAAGCCACGUUACGAUGUGGCUGAAAAUGGAAAACAGAUAGAAACCGCAAGGGAAAAAAAAGGAAGAGAAAAAAAAUCUAUAAGAAAAUUUGAAUAGAAAACACCAAGAAUCUGCAAGAAUCUUGAAUUUCUCUUGAAGAUUGACACCAAAACACACACUGCCUUUUUGAACACUGUUUCUUUGUUUUCUCCUUGCACCAUCUACCAUAUACCUUACACUCUACGGCCAUCUUUUGAACCCUAAAAAAAAAAAAACAAGGCCAAGAUACCACACCAAAACCCC